ensembl:lncRNA
ACCGCGGGGCGGCUCGGUGCCGCAGCCCUGGCCCGCUCCUGGGCCCGUCCGAGUUUACUGCGGGAGCGGCUGGCGCCAGCAGCGCAGCGGUUGCGGCGCGAAUGGCGGGCUGGUCGUCGCAUGCAGCCGAGGUGGGGGAUGCCGCAUUGUGGGAGGAAAGGGGUCCUUGGCCCGAGGAAGGGCAGGGAGCCGAACCUCCCUCCAGUAUCCUCGGUGUGACUACGGGGUUGGGAGCGGGGCGGGCUCCCGUCCCGCGGCGGGUUGGGUGAAGAGAGGCCGCGGGGCGGGAGCGGGCAGCUGUGGCGGCAGCCAGGCGCGGCGGAGUACCGCCGCCCUUAGGGGCCCGGGCCGACCGGGUCCCGCCGGCUCCCUCACCCCCUUUGCCGCCUCCGAAGCCUGGGAGGCGCGGUCACCCCGCGGCCCUUUUCUGUCGGGAAACUCCUUAUUUUCUCAAAUACCUGAAAUCAAAGCAUUUUGCGAGGUGUGCGGCGGCGUGGCGUAGCGCGGGCGCCGCGUUCGCAGGGGUGUUCCGCGGUUUCUGUCGGCGGCACAGCCCCAGCGCAUGAACUUAAAAAGAGAUGGGAUGGAAAAAGCCCGCGGGCUUUUCAGGAUGGAUUCGGAAAGGAUGCAGAAGACAUUUGCUGAGCAGCCACGGAGACCUGGGGAAGGUGAAGUCUCAGGGUAGCAGCUUUAGAGGCAUUUUUCUACGGGACCCUCUCCACACUUGUAAGAUCCUCCUGCUGGAGGUCGUAAUCCCCUUUGGGCAGCUGUUGCUUCCAAGUGGCUGUUGACAGAUGCAGCUCUUUCUGCAGUAGCAUAGAUGUACUAGUAAAAGAGGUUGUAAGCAUUAAAUCACAGUUUGUACCAAUAUCCCAGACAGUUGAUUUUUCCCAGGAAAGCUUACUUUACGUACUGCAGACUUCUGGCAGCUGAGGAGGUUUGGGGAAACAGAGCAUUUGCUGAUAAAACUCACAGUGGUGGCAAACUGCUAGUUGUGAAGGACAAAGGUUUGAGAUCUCGUUCUCAUUUCCUGCUGAGCUGGGAGCUAUUAAAGUAAGCUACUGUAUUUAUAUUACAUGACUGGUAUGAUUGCACACACAUGAAAGAAAUGACUUUAGAAAACCAUUCAUCAUGAUUGAUGUCCGGGGUUUAUGUUUUUUAAAGAAAAGUGCCUGAAUCGCUUCUCACUUAUUUCACUGAAAAUCAGAGCUAAGCUUAGGUUAGUGUGAGGGAGUGUGAGGAGUUAAAGUACUGUUUGGAGAGGAGAAUCAGACCUGACCUGUGGAGUGUCCAGUUUUGUUGGUGUUCUGAAAUGGCAAAAUAAAGAGUUGUCUUCAUAUUAAGUAUAUGGUAAUAUGUGUGAAUUCAGCUAUCCUGAGAGAUGCUAGUUGCCUGGAUACGUUGAAUCCUACUGAAAAGCGUGGUUUUGGAAUCAAGGAUGGCUGCAAAAUGGCCAGCGUAAACAGCCAUGAAGAGUGCAUACCAGCCCGGUCCAUGUGAACCACGGCACGGGAGACAAAGCCAAACCUGAAAAUCUAUUUCACUGAGUUAUCUAAUUGCCAUCACUAUAAUGUGCUGUGACAGCCCUCCUACAAUCUGAAGAAACAAUUUAGACCUUCUGGAGAAUUAUUGUGACAUGUAACAAUAAUCUGAGAGAUUACCUGUGAUUGCACUGGAUUCCUCAGGACAGAGACAGGAUUUUCAAGUGGCUUGUUUCUCCCUAGUAUCUGUGAAUCUUCCUGGUUUUCUGUAGCACAGGGUCUGCUGGGGUUUUUUUUGAGUGUGUGUCUGGGGGCAGACUGUGCUUAGUGUUACUUACUCUUUUUAACAAGUUGUACAUAAGGUUAUUUUAACUUCAAAGAAUGUUGAAAAAGUCUUUCAUUUUGCUGCUUUUGUUCACUGAAUAAAGUACUAAGCAUAGUUUGAACUUUUUCUUGUUUAGGAUCUAAUUAAAGAGGUAGACCUGAUUUUAUGCAUUCAAUUUAUGUUUAAAAACAUUCCUUGAAAAAUUCACCAUUGCUACAAUUUUUAGUUCAAUCUAUUAUUUUUGUCACCUGCCUGGGUUACUAAUUAGUAGUAUUUAAAUUAGGUGCAGGUCUGGUGGAAGUUAUUCUCAAUACUUUAAUAGUCAGAAAUUGUUCCUGCUGUACCAUCUUUUUUUUCUGGGAGUCAGGAUAUUUGAACUCUGCUUCCAACUUUGACUGACUUGUGAUUUGAUCUCUCUAACUUACUAAAUUACUCCACAUUAUGAAUUCCCAUUGUAUAAAGUCCAGAAAAUCAUAUUUAACUGCUUUGCAGGAGCUUCUUAGCAGGGCAGAUAAAAGUAGAUGAUUCAGUGAAAUGCAAAUGAAAUAAAACAUGUGAAAUGCACAUUAAUGC